rnacentral:rRNA from 1 species
CCUGCCGGAAUCCGACGCUCUCCCCAAGGACACAAGCCAUGCAUGCCCGCGCACCCGGGAGGCGGCGGACGGCUCAGGACAACGGUUGCACCCCCCGCGGCGGUCCCUGCUAGCCGGACACCGCUGGCAACCCGGCGCCAAGACGUGCGCGCAAGGGCGGGCGCCCGCGGGCGAGCAGCGUGACGCAGCGACGGCCCGCCCGGGCUUCCGGGGCAUCACCCGGUCGGCGCGGUCGCGGCGCGCCGAGGGCCCGACGCCUGGCGGAGAAUCAGGGUUC